rnacentral:rRNA from 1 species
UCCAUGCAUGUGUAAGUAUAAAUAUUUGACUUUGAAACUGCGAAUGGCUCAUUAUAUCAGUUAUAGUUUAUUUGAUGAACAAUACUACUUGGAUAACCGUAGUAAUUCUAGAGCUAAUACAUGAUAAAAUCCUCGACUUUGAAGAGGUGUAUUUAUUAGAAUGAAACCAAGAGACCUCGGUCUAUUUGUGAGUAAUAAUAACUAAUCGUAUCGCAUGCUUAGGUAGCGAUAUGUCUUUCAAGUUUCUGCCCUAUCAGCUUUGGAUGGUAGUGUAUUGGACUACCAUGGCAGAAACGGGUAACGAAGAAUUUGGGUUCGAUUUCGGAGAGGGAGCCUGAGAGAUGGCUACCACAUCCAAGGAAGGCAGCAGGCGCGUAAAUUACCCAAUCCUGACAUAGGGAGGUAGUGACAAUAAAUCACAAUGCGGAACUAUUAGUUUUGCAAUUGGAUUGAGAACAAUGUACAAAUGUUAUCGAUAAACAAUUGGAGGGCAAGCCUGGUGCCAGCAGCCGCGGUAAUUCCAGCUCCAAUAGCGUAUAUUAACGUUGUUGCAGUUAAAAAGCUC